UCACCAGGUCAGGACACGGUAAGGAUUGACGGACUGAAGGCUCUUUCUCGAUUCCGUGGAAAGUGGUGCAUGGCCGUUUUUGGUUGGUGGAUCGAUCCGUCUGGUUAAUUCCGUUAACGAACGAGACCUCGGCACUCCGAAUAGCGCGGCGGACGUCGCGGCCUCCGGGCCGUCUUCCGCACGAGCUUCUUAGAGGGACCGUCCCCCGCCGGGGAAGGAGGUGCGAGGCAACGACAGGUCUGUGAUGCCCUUAGAUGUUCUGGGCCGCACGCGCAUUACACUGACGCGUCCAACGGGUGACUCCCGACCCGAAGGGGCCGGGGAAUCCGCAAGGCGCGUCGUGAUGGGGAUUGAACGUUGCAAUUGUUGUUCACGAACGAGGAAUUCCUAGUAGGCGCGGGUCAUCAACCCGCGCCGAUUACGUCCCUGCCCUUUGUACACACCG
rnacentral:rRNA from 1 species